UGUCUUUGAAAAUGCAUUACUACGUUAAUUUCUUCAAGAACCAUCUUUGAAAAGCAUUUCACUUCUUCAAAAGGCAUGUCUCUCUCUCACUCGCGCCCUCUCACAUUCUUCAAUUGUUCUCACUUCAGAGCCAACAUAAACCCUAUCACCCAGGGAAGAAGCUAAAUUGCAUCCUCGUCAUGGAAGAGGUCGUCACCCAAGGCAAGCCCUUGAACAAGGAACAUGAAGAGGUUCUCUGCUCCAAACCCUCCAUCCUUGCCCUCAUCGAUGAGCUCGAUAAACUACAACAACCCCUUGCCAUCGCUCUCUUCGAAGAUCUCCAAAUCAAUGACACGUCUUCUCAAAACCCUUGCCACGAGACCGAGACCGAGACAAAGCGAAACCACCCUUCUCCACCGGUGCAAUUAUCGUAAUCGUUGUGGGAUUCGUUUUUGACUUGGCAUUGUUGUUGUUGCUGUGUCUCCAACGGUGGUGAAGACAGCCCAUGAAGCUGUCGAAGGUGGUGGUGAAGGAGCAUAAUGUGUUGGCGGAGGCAGGGACGUCGUUGUCGAAGGGGGAUAUCAUCGGGGGUUCGGUGGAGGUGGAAAGGAACAAGCUUGUGUCCUUCGAAGGGGGAAUUUAUCUUUCUAUCAUUUUUUGGUACAAGAUCUCUCUGUGAAUCUCAUUUUCCCAAAACAUGGUCAUUUUUACUAGUCCUGAUUUCCCAGCAUUGUUGCUCUACUAUCUCUGGUCAAUUUCUUCUCCUUUCUUUUGCUUUGCAUUCACUUAAUUGUUCGAAUUCAUUGUUUUUCAAUUGAACCUUCUCUUAUCACUUUUUUUAGCUGGUUGGUAUUGAUAUUGAAGCUCAUUUUGGUCCCAAUUCUGUUAUAGGGUUUUAGUGUUUGAAAAUUGAGAUGUUACUUGGUUUAUUUUCGAUCAAACGGUUUCCCAGGGGCAUAGGGUUUUGAUAAAAUUAUGUCUGGUGAAGGAAAAGAGGUGAAGAACAUGAAUAACAUUUUCAGAGAGCAAAUACUUGUAGACAAGUUGUACAAGCUUAAUAACACCCAACAAUUCAUUGAAAUUGGAAGGUUCUUCCUGCAACACCUAACGAUGUUAUCAAGACAACUGAUGAUCAUGGAAAGCAUGUGGUUUCUAGAUUGGUAAGCCCUUUUUAUUCUAUGUGAUGCAAGUAUUUCAAGUGAAUACUUUAAUAUGCAUGUGAUGUGAGGAAAAUGGAAAAAAAAUGUUGAUGCUGUGUGCUCUGUUGGUGAACAUACAAUAGAACAGAGUUACAGAAGUAACACCUGAAUUAUGACUGCUCUUGCCUGUAUGGAUGCUGGCUUAUGUUUUAUUUCCCACAUGUUGGUUGACUUGAAGGACUUCAAGAAAGUCAAUGAGAUCUAUGCUAAAUGUGAGUUUUAUGGUAGUUAUUUAAAUUUUUAAUGUUUCCUUGACAGUUACAUUCUUGUAGAAGGUGAAGCUUGCACUAACUUGUUUAGGUGCGAAAAGAUGAAUACACUAUCAUAAACUUUUAUUUAUAUUUAGUAAUAUCUUUUGGUAGAAAUAAUUAGCCAUCCAUUUCAUAUUGCAGAUCAUGAAAGUCCCGUAUUGACAAACUACUCAACUGUGCUAAUUACUAAUGAAUUUCACUUCUGAUAAUAAUUUAUACUGUGUUGUAAAAAUUGAUCAUGCUUUGCUUUGGCACUCAUUUUGCAUGAAAAUUUUACUGUUCAAGAAGUCCUUUGCUUUUUAACUCACUCUCCUUUUUGAACUUCUUAUUCUCUGCUUUCUAGUUAGCUUGACUCUAGUUUCUAAUAAUUCAUAUUUUGAAUCUUAUCUUCUUUUUUUAGAGUUUUGCAAAGUGAUGUGAAUUAUUGAUCAAAUCACAUUAACUAAAAAGGUAAAAAGUUGUGGAACUUGUUUCAAUUGCAGCCUAUGCAUGAUCAGAAGGUGCAAUUUAUGAUAAUAACUUUUGUUUUUUUUGUAGUUAAUGAUAUCUCAUUUACCAAAAACAAAGGUAAAAGGUUAUGGAACUUAUUUCAUUUUGCAGUUUAUUGAUAUUAACUAGUUAAAGAUUCAAAAAGUACUAGUACAAAGUAUGACCAUAAACAAAUAACUCGACUUAUGUGAUGAACAUUUCAACA